rnacentral:rRNA from 1 species
CCUACGGGUGGCAGCAGUGGGGAAUAUUGCGCAAUGGGCGAAAGCCUGACGCAGCGAAGCCGCGUGAGUGAAGAAGUAUUUCGGUACGUAAAGCUCUAUCAGCAGGGAAGAAAAUGACGGUACCUGACUAAGAAGCCCAGGCUAACUACGGGACAGCAGCGGCGGUAAUACGUAGGGGGCAAGCGUUAUCCGGAUUUACUGGGUGCAAAGGGAGCGUAGACGGCAGCGCAAGUCUGGAGUGAAAUCACAUGGCUUAACCAUGGAACUGCUGUUGAAACUGUGCAGCUGGAGUGCAGGAGAGGUAAGCGGAAUUCCUAGUGUAGCGGUGAAAUGCGUAGAUAUUAGGAGGAACUCCAGUGGCGAAGGCGGCUUACUGGACUGUAACUGACGUUGAGGCUCGAAAGCGUGGGUAGCAAACAGGAUUAGAUACCCUUGUAGUC